rnacentral:rRNA from 1 species
UACGUAGGGUGCGAGCGUUAAUCGGAAUUACUGGGCGUAAAGCGUGCGCAGGCGGUUCGCUGUGUCUGCGGUGAAAGCCCCGGGCUCAACCUGGGAAUGGCCGUGGAAACUGGCGAGCUGGAGUGUGGCAGAGGGGGGUGGAAUUCCACGUGUAGCAGUGAAAUGCGUAGAGAUGUGGAGGAACACCGAUGGCGAAGGCAGCCCCCUGGGCUGACACUGACGCUCAGGCGCGAAAGCGUGGGGAGCAAACAGG